GCCCACGCGUCCCGGGCUUCAGGGGAGCACCUGGGAAGCGCUGGGGGUCGCGUGCCCUUGGCCGGAGGCCUGGUCACCCGCAGGCCCUGCCAUCCUCGGCUUGGCCGCUGCUGCCCGCGCGCCUGUGGCGGAGCGAGCCUGCCUCCAGGGCAGCCUCACCGCCUGGAUCCUGGGCAGGAGACCUCCCAGGUCCCUUCCUCUCUCCAGCUGUCUGGAAUGGAGCCGCCAUGUCUGGUGCUCAAGCGGCCAGCUCUGACCCAGAGCCAGGUGUGGGGAGUAGAGAAGGCCCCUGUGAUGAAGAGCCUCCAGUGCCAGGACCAAUAUGGCAGAUGUUAGGAACAGUGGACUGACCUGCUUUCCAAUGCUUGCUGAAAAGUCACCUGGCAGCAAGAGGUUAACCAGUGUUGGUUCCUGUUGUUUACAACCAAGAAUCCUGAGAAGUUCAUAUGUAGCCCACACAUAAGCUGAAGUAUUGCCUUAUGACAUAUUCUGAAUAUUCCAAUUAUUUUGCAAAUAAUUCCACUAAGAGAUUAAUACAUUCUAGAGCAUGUAGCUGUGGUUCAUUCAUUUUCAUAACUGUGUAAUAUUUCAUUGAAUAAAUUUGCUCUUUCUAUAUUUUCAAACCACUUUAUUGAGAUAUUGUUGAAAUGUUAAAAAGUUGUACAUAUUGAAUGUAUGUAACUGGAUUUUGAGGGUAAGUAUACACCCAUGAAACUAUCACUACCAUCCAUCACCUCCUAGCUUUCUCUCACCCCCUUUAUCAUCAUCAUCAUUAGUAUUAUUUGUGCUGUAAUAUAUUUAUCCAUUUUAUUUUUGAUGGACAUUUGAUAUUGAUGGGUAUUGUUUUCAAGUUUUGCAUUACAAUGCUGAUAUAAGGAUUUCUGUAUGUAUAUUUUAGUGUACAUGAAAAAGUAUUUUUCUGUGAUAUAUUCCUGAGAAUAGAAUUGCUAAAUCAUAGAAAAUGCAUAUGUUUAAACUUAUUAGAUAAUGCUAUUUUUCUAAAGUGAGUAAAACAACUUAUUCUCCCACCAGGAGUUACUGAGAGAAUUUAAAUAUUUGCCUAAAAGUCCUUUAAUAUUUUGUUACAUUUAUGGCUAGGUAUUUUAUGUUUUGGUUGCUUUUAUAAGUAGUAAUUUUUUAUUUUUUAACCAUCAGUUACUGGUGUAUAGAUAUGCAGCUGACUUUUGUAUAUCAAAUUUAUGUCUAGAAACCUUACUAAUCUCAGAUUUAUUUGGGUUUUUUCUGGGAAAGACAAUCAUAUUAUCUGGAAAUAAUGCCAAUUUUGUUUUUAAAUUUGUAGUUCUUAUACUUUGUAUUUCUUUUUCUUGUCUUAUUGCACAAUGUGGGAACCUUCAGUAGAAUGUUCACUAUAAAUGGCACUGGCAAACAUUUUUGCUUUAUUUGACUUUAAAGGAGUUGCUUUUAAUAUUUGACUAUUUAAUAUGACAUAUGCUGUAUUUAAAUCUUUAAAAAAGUCUAAGAAAAAUUUUCUAUUUCUAGUUU
rnacentral:lncRNA from 1 species